UACGUAGGGGGCAAGCGUUGUCCGGAAUCAUUGGGCGUAAAGAGCGUGUAGGCGGUCCGGUCAGUCGGUUGUGAAAGUCAGGGGCUCAACCCUUGAAUGCCGACCGAUACUGCCGGGCUAGAGUCCGGAAGAGGCGAGUGGAAUUCCUGGUGUAGCGGUGAAAUGCGCAGAUAUCAGGAGGAACACCUAUUGCGAAGGCAGCUCGCUGGGACGUAACUGACGCUGAGACGCGAAAGCGUGGGGAGCAAACAGG
rnacentral:rRNA from 1 species